AGCUAACAAAGGUUUCCGUAGGUGAACCUGCGGAAGGAUCAUUACUGAGUGAGGGUCCCUCGGGGCCCAACCUCCCACCCGUGUAUACCGUACCUUGUUGCUUCGGCGGGCCCGCCGCGCAAGCGGCCGCCGGGGGGGCGUCAAACCCCCCUCCCUAGGCGAGCGCCCGCCGGAGACACCAACGUGAACACUGUCUGAAGUUUUGUUGUCUGAGUUCGAUUGUAUCGCAAUCAGUUAAAACUUUCAACAAUGGAUCUCUUGGUUCCGGCAUCGAUGAAGAACGCAGCGAAAUGCGAUAAUUAAUGUGAAUUGCAGAAUUCAGUGAAUCAUCGAGUCUUUGAACGCACAUUGCACCCCCUGGUAUUCCGGGGGGUAUGCCUGUCCGAGCGUCAUUGCUGCCCUCAAGCACGGCUUGUGUGUUGGGUCGUCGUCCCCCCCGGGGACGGGCCCGAAAGGCAGCGGCGGCACCGCGUCCGGUCCUCGAGCGUAUGGGGCUUUGUCACCCGCUCUUGUAGGCCCGGCCGGCGCUGGCCGACGCUGAAAAGCAACCAACUAUUUCUCCAGGUGACCUCGAUCACGUAGUACCCAUCC
rnacentral:rRNA from 1 species